AAACUUCACAAUGGAGGCAACUCCGAUGAGGGAAUUCCAAGUGCUAGCACAUUAGUGUUAGCUUUUCUUAAGCAUAGAUAACUUAAGGAAUAAGGGCUGGGUAAGACGGGUGCCAGCCGCCGCGGUAAUACCCGCAGCCCAAGUGGUGGUCGAUUUUAUUGAGUCUAAAACGUUCGUAGCCGGUUCAUUAAAUCCUUGGGUAAAUCGGAUGGCUUAACUAUCCGAAUUCCGGGGAGACUGGUGAACUUGGGACCGGGAGAGGCAAGAGGUACUUUUGGGGUAGGGGUAAAAUCCUGUAAUCCUAAAAGGACCACCGGUGGCGAAGGCGUCUUGCUAGAACGGAUCCGACGGUGAGGGACGAAGCCCUGGGUCGCAAACGGGAUUAGAUACCCCGGUAGUCUAGGGUGUAAACGCUGCAGACUAGGUGUUGGAGGCCCUACGGGGGCACCCAGUGCCCGAGAGAAGUUGUUAAGUCUGCUACUUGGGGAGUACGUCCGCAAGGAUGAAACUUAAAGGAAUU
rnacentral:rRNA from 1 species